rnacentral:rRNA from 1 species
AUACGGAGGGUGCGAGCGUUAAUCGGAAUUACUGGGCGUAAGGCGUACGUAGGCGGUUGGUUAAGUUAGAUGUGAAAGCCCCGGGCUUAACCUGGGAACUGCAUUUAAAACUGGCGAACUAGAGUUGAGUAGAGGGGAGUGGAAUUUCAGGUGUAGCGGUGAAAUGCGUAGAGAUCUGAAGGAACACCAGUGGCGAAGGCGACUCCCUGGACUCGAACUGACGCUGAGGUACGAAAGCGUGGGUAGCAAACGGAAUUAGAAACCCUAGUAGUCC